rnacentral:rRNA from 1 species
CAAGUCGAGCGAGAAAAGGGGGGCAACUCCCUGAGUAAAGCGGCGCACGGGUGAGUAACACGUGGGUAAUCUGCCCUGGAGUGGGGAAUAACACCGGGAAACCGGUGCUAAUACCGCAUACGAUAGCGGGAUCUGCGGAUUUCGUUAUGAAAGGAGCAAUUCGCUCUAGGAGGAGCCCGCGGCUGAUUAGCUAGUUGGUGAGGUAAUGGCUCACCAAGGCUACGAUCAGUAUCCGGUCUGAGAGGACGGUCGGACACACUGGAACUGAGACACGGUCCAGACUCCUACGGGAGGCAGCAGUGGGGAAUUUUUGGCAAUGGGGGCAACCCUGACCAAGCAACGCCGCGUGGGUGAUGAAGUCUCUUGGGACGUAAAACCCUUUCGACGGGGAAGAAACCGCAAGGUUGACGGUACCCGUAGAAGAAGCCCCGGCUAACUCCGUGCCAGCAGCCGCGGUAAUACGGGGGGGGCAAGCGUUGUUCGGAAUUACUGGGCGUAAAGGGUGCGUAGGCGGUCUGUUAAGUUGGAUGUGAAAACUCUGGGCUCAACCCAGAGCCUGCAUCCAAAACUGGCAGGCUAGAGUUCUGGAGGGGGUAGCGGAAUUCCUGGUGUAGCGGUGAAAUGCGUAGAUAUCAGGAGGAACACCGGUGGCGAAGGCGGCUACCUGGACAGAAACUGACNCUGAGGCACGAAAGCUAGGGGAGCAAACAGGAUUAGAUACCCUGGUAGUCCUAGCCCUAAACGAUGGAUACUUGCUGUGACUGGGAUUGAAUCCAGUCGUGGCGAAGCUAACGCAUUAAGUAUCCCGCCUGGGGAGUACGGUCGCAAGGCUGAAACUUCAAAGGAAUUGAC